GGAAUAUUGGACAAUGGGCGAAAGCCUGAUCCAGCCAUGCCGCGUGUGUGAAGAAGGUCUUCGGAUUGUAAAGCACUUUAAGUUGGGAGGAAGGGUCGUUACUUAAUACGUGGCGAUUUUGACGUUACCGACAGAAUAAGCACCGGCUAACUCUGUGCCAGCAGCCGCGGUAAUACAGAGGGUGCAAGCGUUAAUCGGAAUUACUGGGCGUAAAGCGCGCGUAGGUGGUUUGUUAAGUUGAAUGUGAAAUCCCCGGGCUCAACCUGGGAACUGCAUCCAAAACUGGCAAGCUAGAGUAGGGCAGAGGGUGGUGGAAUUUCCUGUGUAGCGGUGAAAUGCGUAGAUAUAGGAAGGAACACCAGUGGCGAAGGCGACCACCUGGGCUCAUACUGACACUGAGGUGCGAAAGCGUGGGGAGCAAACAGGAUUAGAUACCCGAG
rnacentral:rRNA from 1 species